rnacentral:rRNA from 1 species
AUGUUGAAACCUGCAGGGUGGAACAGGCCUAAAAUGUACACGCUCUCAACGUUUGGCCUUCCGCUUUGCUGUGGAUUUUUUUGCCUCAAACAAGAAGGGGCGCCCAGGAUGGUUUGGCUUCUCGACGAUGCCAUUGACACACAACACCGGGCCUACAUGAUGCGCGAGAAGGGGCUGGUAAUAAUGAGUAAUCUAAAUAUUUUGCAAAUUUGCCUUUGGUUGAAAUUGACAUGCCCUAAAAUUUGUCAUUACUUGUUUUUGCAGAAGCUUGAACCUCUGAAGAUUCGGUAUCACGGGGUCUCUGGUCCUGCCAUGCCCUACGAUGAGCGGUACACACCCUACGUCCAGCAGGCAGGACUCCUCCCGUGGAUUCAGUUGGCCAGCCCGUCCACGCCGAACCUCAACGCUCCACUGGUGACCUCUCUUGCUGAUCGGUGGAGGCCGGAGACGCACAGUUUCCAUCUUUGGACUGGGGAGAUGACCGCGACGCUCGAGGAUGCCGCCUUGAUCACCGGGCUUCCUAUCGACGGGAGGCCACUAUGUAUGAGCACCGAUUCCGAUGGGUGGCGCGAGCAGAUGAUUGCUCUUAUUGGUAUGGCUCCUACCGAGGCUAAGGUUGAUGUAGAGGAGGGAGAAGAGCAGAAGAAGAAGGAAAGGAACUUUGCGCUUUGCCCUGUGGAUGCCACUGAUGAUGUGAUACAGACACAUGCUCGUGUCUAUAUGUGGUACGUUGUCUCGAGGACUUUGUUUCCCGACUCCACAGGCAAGAACGCUCCAUGGAUGUGGCUGAAGGCGUUGACUGUCUUCGAUAGCGGAUGGAGCUGGGGUUCAGCCACUCUUGCUUACUUGUACCGAUAG